UCCACAUCAAUGCAUGCUCGCCGCCGUUUAGUCUUGAGAAAUUUGUACGUCGUCGUCACGUACCCUACACUCUCCUCGCCGGUGCGUCUCCCCAUCUGGCUCUCCUGAAAAAGCAAGCGAAUCAUGAUGGUGAAAUCCUGAAUCGAGGUCAGUGUUCAAUGGGACCAUGCAUGCAUGCCUAAUUCGAAAGGUGUAGUAUUGCAUUGCUGUGCACUCAUUUGUUGUGUCUCUGGCUCUUUGUCAUGCUAUCACUUGCUUGUUUCUGCUAACUGCGCUAUUUGCCUGGUCUCGACGAGCACAAAUGUCGAGGCAUAUCUCUCCAUGACUCCAUGCUUAAGCUCUUCUUUUCAGAGCCUAGCAUGUCUGUUAGUAUUUGUGAUGGCGUUUCUAUGGUCCCCUACCUGGCAACGCUAGCUAAACGGCGUUUUCUGACGAACUGCCAAAGGAAGUUCAUAUUGCAAACUAAUAGAAAUUAAAGUACCAAACCAUUCGAAAUUUUGAAUCCAUUUUGAACAGUUAAGAAACUGCCAUAUAGUAACUCUGUGCUAACGAUAAGACAGUUUGGCAUGGUUAUAACUUGUAGUAAGUUCAUGCAUUUUUCUUAAUACAUGCUCUGUUCAGAGAUUUGCAUUACAAAUGUGAACAAUGUGUUCCAUAUAGUAUAUAACGGAAUAUCAGAUGAGAUUAGUACCUGUUGUGAAUAGGAUCAGGUCCGUUGGGCACCUUCCUCCUGCUGUCCUUGUACGGGUCAUCCAAGGGAGCCUGCUGCUGGUCUGCAGACACUGUGGCUGCAGCGGUGGCAACCGGCGGCGUAGGCACAACUUCAGCGGCGGUGCUCGCCGUCGUUGUGACAGCAGGGCUAGGAGCGCCGGGGCCAACAACAGUCCCCGCCGUCCUGAUGCCGUUCGCCAUUGCCGCCGACAAGAGCGCGACGCAGACGAGCACGGCUAGCCUGCCCGCCAUUAAUUGCCGCUGCUUCUGCUUUUCAGGUACGGUGAUCACUGAUCACACUAGCUUCUACCAGCUAGCUAGGCCCUUGCAAAAGAUCUCUCUCUUGCAAGUCGCGAUGAUCACCUGCAACAGCAAGUGCUAUCUCUCCAUAGCGACUCUCCGUCUCCGAUGCUGUGCAGAGAUGAACGGCGGUUGUUCAGAGGAGAUGCAAAGGUUGCUGCAGAAUAUACUGAAGGGAUCAAUGCAAGGUUCUUGGGAGUUGGGAGCAAUGCAAGGAAGCAGAGGAGAGUGACAAGUGGUGACUGGUGAAGGAAGAGUGUGUAUGACGAUCCUAGCAAUCUGCAGCACAUGAUGUUUAUAUAUAUGUACAUCCUGCUCUACCGAAGCCCUGGCUUUGGAGUCCGAUCCAAUGAUGCUGAUUGAUGCUACAUGGAUGCAGAUGUGUGCCGAGAGCGGCUUUGGGUUUCCUCUCCUUUGUUGGUUCGCUCAAAAAGUACAAAUCAGAAACACCAGGUCUAGUCGUGAUCAGCCUAUGAGUUGGACGCCCGAGGAAGACAGGGAAGUUCCAAAAGAGCAGUACCGCACUUGCCAGCAAGGGGCAAGGCGAUCUGCAGGGCGCAGGGGGCCUACGCUGCCUGAGCGAACUGAUUAGCAUGCCGAGUUCGCACUAGAAUUUGGAAUCGGCCAUUGCUGGUGGUACGAGCAGAGCAGGCAUGAUGGCUGCAUGCGUACGGCCGCUGCGGCGUGGCAUCAAUGAUUUCGCUGCAUAUGGCGGUUGUGUUGGCUGGCAUCGGUGCUGACUGAGAAAGCAGCAGUGGUGACGAGACCAACACCGUACGCCUAGUUGCGCAGCGCCGGUGAUCACACCUUGGACGGUUGUGGCCAGGGACCUCUAUCCUCGCCUUGCAAACACCAUGUCGUUCUUUUUUUUCUUCUUUACUGCACUAUUCACCGCUCGUCUUGUGUGGCCACUAGUAGUAGCCGUAGCAAUCGACACUGUGUCUUAACUCAUAUUUACUUCGAAAACAGUCGUCCCUAAGUUUCCCUAGGAGAGAUGGCCAGACCCACGAACAGAUCUUGCACCUACAUGCUGACGCGGUUAACAGCAAUCGGACUUGGUGGCUUGAAUGAAAGGUCUCACAGAAGGGUAGCUAGUUUGGUGGUCUGAUGAACUCUCACUCCAAGCUUCCAAACCACCGGCAGUUUAUCAGGGCCCAGCAGAGCAUGCUACAUGAUCACAUCCGAUCCACCACACACAAAAGACUAUAAGAGGAAGUGCGAGUACAUACGCCAUGGCAAUGAUCGGCGUCCUCUCCCGCUUUGCCCUUUGGAACGGAUAUCCUUAACAAUCCUUCUACCCCCAUGUGAGGUCCUCGCAAGGGAACAAAGCCGGAUUCGCCCGGCCCUACAGUGCCCUCUCUCCUCCGAUCCGUUCCCAACUUUGCCGCACCGAUCGCAAUCACUCCCAGUCCCAGCCUGCCGCGCGCUCCUGAGUCCUGCCUGCCCCGUCUCCCGACCAAGACCAACCUGUACGGCGACCGCGCGGCGCCGGUAAAAAAAACACUCGAAACCCCAGGUUCCCUCAGGGACGACGCAUCGCUAUCCCCGGCCCGGGGGGCGGAAUCCUACUCCUAGUCGUUGGUGGCGAUGGCGAGCAGUGACGGCGGCGGGCCGGCGGCCUCGUGGAACGGCCAACGGAGGAUCGGACGAGCUGGCCUGGCCUGGCCUUUUCUUUUCCGGCUUUUGAGAUGGAGGCCCCGACACCGCCAGAUAGAGGAUCCCGCUAGCUUAGCUGCAGCAGGGACAUGACGGAGGAAUGUCUCUGUUCCGGCGGGCCGGGGAGGGGAUAAUCUUUUGACCGCCCGGUCCCGCCGCCUCCGGACCCUUGGACCGUGGAGGGACCACGGACCAGCGGCUUGCCAAUCCGCGAGCCACCAACGCGAAACGCCCAACGGGGUGGCGUGCUGCAAUGAGUGGAGCCACACGCCGCUGGCGGCUGCCUGUGCGCAUAGAGAGGCCGGGACACGUCGAACGGAUUUGGCAAAAACUUGGGAGGGACUCUGGCCGAGCAUCGCAAACAUCAUCCUUCGUCAGAUCUUCACCAAUCAGUCCUACGGUUCACUUCACUUGAUGGUAGUCAGCAACAUAUCUGAAGAAGAAACACCACUUCCUUGCGUUUUGACAUCGCCAGACUACUGCCCAAUGCCUAGUCUUGUUCAAACGAUGAUAGAUCUUUUCAGUCCAAGAAGGUGGGCAAAAACUGAAGAGGCUCACUAUGGUGCCAUCAGUCGAGCACGUUCGGCCCGUUUGUAUACCCUACUUAGUAGUUUACCACCUGUCAUAUCGGAUGUUUGGAUGCUAAUUAGAAGUAUUAAAUAUAGGUUAAUUACAAAACUAAUUGCAUAAAUGAAGUCUAAUUCGCGAGAUGAAUCUAUUAAGCUUAAUUAGUCCAUGAUUUGACAAUGUGGUGCUACAGUAACCAUUUGCUAAUGAUGAAUUAAUUAGACUUAAUAGAUUCUUCUCGCGAAUUAGCACAGGGGUUCUACAAUUAGUUUUAUAAUUAGCUCAUGUUUAGUCCUCCAAAUUAGCAUCCGAAUAUCCGAUGUGAUACUACUAAAGUUUAGCACCUAGUAUCAAACACGCCAUUAUUUCCUUAAGUCACGCAACAUCAGUAUCAUCGGACCUGUGCGGCCUUCUUCCUGUAGUGUUGGUUAAGCAGUGCUGACCUAAGAUGUCUGACAGUCUGAAUGAAGAGACAUCGCGACAAAUUUAAGUAUACUUUUCAGAAACAGAUAUAUCCUCUAUCGUUCAGUCGUUGAACCCUGUAUGAAGAGACAGCAGAAGCGGCCGACGUUGAGGCCAUCGUCGUCGUCAUUUCCGGCGCCGCCCACAGCGCAUCUGAGUUGCGCUCCUCGCCUACUCUGAAGCCAGCCAUGGCGGACAGGCGCAGCGGUUUCUGUUUAUCCGCGAUAGACGGCGCGACCGGAGGAUGGCUACGGGAGGUGGACGACCAAAAGGCACGUCCUGAAUCCUGAUAGCGGGUGGCGCCGGAGGGCGCGGGCCGCCGCCGUCGCUGCGCUUGGAUGCGGUGAAUCACGCGCGUGCCAUGGUGGGGAGGACGGCGGAGUCAGGCGGCAGUGGAGGAGACUACCAGGGGGCGACGAUGAACUGACUAUCCAGAAGAAAGGAGCCUAUUUGUAAAUUCAGAAGUAUCAGGGGGACACUUCUGACAGACACCAGAUUUCCAAAUUCAGAUUUCGCACGUGCUAACGUGACGUCCCAUCACAAUAUUAAAAAAUAAUUAUCGAAACAUCAAAAAUCAAUACUGGCAACAUCAAUUUUGGAACUCAUGUAGACCAUCCAUCUCAUUAUAGGAUAAAAAAAUUCCCGUGCGCAGCAUUUCAUCAUAUUUCACGCAACAUUCAUCAGAAGAUAAAUUUACAACACCUUUACAUGCAUGAAACAUCUCGAAUCGCUUCAUGCAACAUUCAAAAUAGACACAUUGCAACAAUAAAAAUCACCAGUUGCAACAUCUCGAAUAGAAACAAUCUCGCGAUCUCAGCCAAAUCAAGCAUUGCAACAACAAAAAACAUCUCUUACAACAUGCCAAAUAAUCUUUUGUAACAUAUAAAUUCACAUGUCGAACAAAAGAAGAAGAGGUCGAAACAAAAAAAUAAUUAUAUGCAACAUCGUGAACAAGUUGAUGCAACACCCGAUUGACUUGCCUGCUCGCAAUGACAUGGAUGAAGGCUGACGAGCUCGUCGGUGGCAGCAAUGUCGAGCCAUGGCUUGCGGACUGCAUGAGCCUGUCGGGGAUAGAUCUUCAGUACAUGCAAGGAAGGAAGAAAACGGAUUCCAACUAGGGAUCCAUGUAUCCUACUAGAACUUAUACCCUGUAAUCCUAUUAGGACUACUACCUUAUAACCGACUAGUAAUCCUACCCCUAAAGUGUAUAAAGGAGGGCACGGAUCCCUAGAUCGGUAGGCCAAGAUCUCAUAGAACCACAAUAGAGGACCAAAUCCUUAACACCAAACAACACUCAAGCGCAUGGCGCAAAAUACAACACCCUAAAUGUAGGGUAUUACGCUACUCCGGUGGCCUGAACCUGUAUAAAUCUGUGUCUUGUAUCCUCACUUUUACCUUCGAGUUGCAGGUCCGACGAUCCCCACCAACCAAACUACUACCUCGGGAUACCCCUCAGUAGAUUGUCGGGUAUAAAACACUGACAUAUGGCGCGCCAGGUAGGGGUGAUCGUCGAGAUCAUCGGACAAGCUUGAAGGAUCUCAUCAUCAAGAUCAAUCUACUCUACAAGAAGCAAGUCGCCGAGUCGAAGUUAUGAGCAUACAAAUCUAUGCCGAGACAAAAUCAUUGCGCUCCACGUUCCAGUCGAAAACCGAGUCGGUUUCCGCCGCAGACUGCUGCAUAUGGCUCAUCGAUCAAGGCAGAGGCAAAUUUGAUUCAAGUUGGGAGAUCAGGCAAACCGAGCGACCCAUGCGCAUAAUUCCCAAGAUGACAAAUAUGUGUUACUGUCACGCGUGGAUUGAGGCAAAUUAUCAGCUCCAAUUAUUCUCCGUAAAAAGCAAUUUUGAGGGAUUUGUGCCACACGCGUAUGGAAGGCUACCGCAAGAUCUAAAAAUCGUAGCCUAACGUACAUAGAAAAUGUACGCGAGCACUGCUACCCUAACGUCCGGCCGCAUCAAGUCGCCAACGACUACUUUGACUACUCAUCUUGACUAGAAAACUAGUCGAGGACGGUCUACUUUGACUACUCGUCUACUAGAAAACUAGUCGAGGGCGGGUUCCGCGUGCUAAACAACUAGUCGGAAUCGGCUUCGAUUAGUCAGCUUCAUCAACAACCGUCGCAGCUUCAUGACGACCGCCACGACUUCGUCGACAAUCGUCCACGAAUCAAGCUAAGUCACUUUUUUAAUAAUUUUAUAUAAUUUUUUCGGCUUGUUUUCUGCAUCCAGGGCAACUCACCAAGUACUUUUUUUUGUGUACGCCUCUCGACGGAAAUUACCCUACAGAGCUACACUUUUCCAAUUAUUCCUAGGGCAUGUUAACCGACAGCCAUGGGUUUGGUACACCGAAUUACGAAGGCUAUAGCCACGGGUUGUAUGCACUGAGUUCUGGAGGCUCGUAGCGGCUACACCCUUAGGAGGCACAAAUCCUAUGCGCAGCAACACAUACUCUCCUCACCAAAAAGGUAGAAAAGUCUCAAUGACUACUUUACGCGCAGUCUUUUUUUCGCAACGCUUACUUAUUUUAAAUGUCUUCUCUUAGCGGUUGUUAAUCUACUCGAAUAGAACACACCUCAAUUUGUGAAAGUAUCGGAUCUUCUGUCAUGCCUAAACGCUAGGACGCGAGACAAAGAUCGCUGUAGCAGCAGUGCCAGUACGCGUACACGUGAUAAAGAUCUCACACGCAGUGGCAAUGGCUAAACAGGGACUGGGAACCUAAACGUAAUAGGCUAGCUACUCGGGAGAAAUAUGGCUGAAACAAGAGCAUGACACACAAUAUUUACAUUCAUCACUGAAUAAAUUUCGAUAGUAUCUUCAAAAUUCUACAAUAUGCUACAUAAUAUAUGCAUCUAUUUUUGCAGGUCAAGUUUCGGUGAUGACUCUCUAGGACGCUCAGCAUAACUCCAAUGGCUUCGCUAGCUCCCAAGCUCGGGGGCUAAGCACCAAUUACUACUUGGAAUAUCUCCAAUGGUUCAGCUAGUUUCCAAGCUCAGAGGCUAAGAGCCAAAUAACUACUCGACGUGCCUCGUACGGUUAGCCUGGCGCAUAAGCUCGGGGGCUGGAUGCCGC
rnacentral:lncRNA from 1 species